UCUACACAGCCUUGGGAACGAGCUAAGCCAGAUUGGGGAAUAAGAAUAAGGAAGGAUUAGAGGAAACAAUGCAGGACACUCUGAAGCAGAGAGAACUGAUCACCCAGGAAAGUGACUUGGGAGAAACAGUGUAGAAGAAUUGUGACAUCUUUGAGAUCAGGUCUAAAAUUCUCCAGCGAAACUCGAACAUGGCAUAGACCAGAACAAGAUCUCCCUUGGAGAGCAGUGCCACAGGAGGAGUCUAAGUGUGCACAACAAAUACACCACUAUUACAUCGCAUCCUUAAUAUCCAUAGCAGUUGUGGGCUGCAUUUUCCUACUUUAGUUUGAUUUCUUUGGAUUGAAUAGGCCAUACUUUCAUCUCGGCUCUCCCGAGCAAGCGUGCACAUUUGAAGAAGCGUGCACAGAGAAGAGCUGAUGCACAUCAAUCGAGAACUGCUGAGCAUCCAGGAAGAGUGUGCACAUGUACAUUUGUACUUGUCCUGAAGGGUCACCCAGAAGAGUUUCAUGGAGA
ensembl:lncRNA